UACGGAGCGGCAGACGGGUGAGUAACGCGUGGGAACGUGCCUUUUGGUUCGGAACAACACAGGGAAACUUGUGCUAAUACCGGAUAAGCCCUUACGGGGAAAGAUUUAUCGCCAAAAGAUCGGCCCGCGUCUGAUUAGCUAGUUGGUGAGGUAACGGCUCACCAAGGCGACGAUCAGUAGCUGGUCUGAGAGGAUGAUCAGCCACACUGGGACUGAGACACGGCCCAG
rnacentral:rRNA from 1 species